GGCUCAAUGGUCUAGUAGUAUGAUUCCUGCUUCGGGUUGUUCCCGGUUCGUUUCGAACUGAAUAUGCAGGAGGUCCCGGGUUCAAUUCCCGGUUGAGCCC